rnacentral:rRNA from 1 species
UACGUAGGGACCAAGCGUUGUUCGGAUUUACUGGGCGUAAAGGGCGCGUAGGCGGCAAUUCAAGUCAGCUGUGAAAUCUCCGGGCUUAACUCGGAACGGUCAGCUGAUACUGCUUGCUAGAGUGCAGAAGGGGCAAUCGGAAUUCUUGGUGUAGCGGUGAAAUGCGUAGAUAUCAAGAGGAACACCUGAGGUGAAGACGGGUUGCUGGGCUGACACUGACGCUGGAGGCGCGAAAGCUAGGGUAGCAAACGGG